GCAUGGCAACACGCAUGCGUAGUCGGACACACACGCGCCCCGCCCCUCCCCAGGCAGUGGGCGCCUGGGCGCUUUGCGCUUGCGCGGAAUGACGGUGCGGCUCGUAUCUGCGCGCCCCACUACGAACUGGGGGCAGGGCCCCUGCCCGGGGUGUCCUCGCCCUGCGGGGCAGGACCCUGCGACAGCACUGCCACCCCUGCCUGCCUGUCGCACUUCGGGUUUACCAACCUGGAGCGACUGUCGGGUGUGGCCUCACCGUACUGUAAAUGGUUAGGCUCGUCACGGAUAGGAAAAUGUAUUGCACAUGAACACUUUAAGAAGAGAUGAUGGAUCUGGACAGCAUCUCAGGAGUGGAGAUAUUUGGUGGCAGAGCAGAUGACUCCAAAGCAACAGCAAAAAGCCUUGCUGGCUCUGUUGGGAAGUACAGGUGUAAACCGUGACUCUACAAUGCACUCCUGGAAGUCACUGCUAAUCUGAGUUGUCUACAGCGUGAAGGUUUUAUUUUAUAGGACCUGGUUAUGUAGGGUUUUAAUCUCAAUUUCUGGCCAUCUGUAGCUUAGAAAUACUCAAGGAUUCUGUAAGAUGAACGUUAGGUGCCUAGGAAGACUGCAGGCUGUGAAGAAGAAUGCUUUUGGAGAGUUGUGUUUUUUGAAUAAAGGUUUUUCUCUCGCUGGAAAAAGGCUGGUGUUCUGGAAACGGACAUUCACGUCAACCUAGAUGAGGAUUUAGGUGCUGGCAUGUUAAAUAAGUAACUCCGUAAUCAGGAGCUUGACUAGGCACCAAGCUAACAGGAAUGCAGUGACAUGGGCAUUUCUUUUUCAUCCUUCUAUCUUUAUUUCAGGAGUAUUCCAUAGAAAAUAUUAAUGUGCAAAAAAAUUAUACGCUAAACUGUGGUGGAGAAGGCCAUGCCAAGGUGGCCACUGGCAAGCGAGCGUCAGUUACUCAGGGAUGGCUUUGGAAACUGCCUGGCAACAGGCUGUGAUUGGAUGGCUUUGGAAACUGCCUGGCAACAGGCUGUGAUUGGUUGGGGCAUAGACCGCCCCUUGACCAGAUUGGCUGGUCUUGGCUAUAUAAGAUGUUGUACCAACUGAAAUAAACGAGUCUGCCGGCUGCUCGCCUCAAGCCUGC